rnacentral:rRNA from 1 species
UACCUGCAGCUCAGGUGGUGACCGCUAUUAUUGGGCCUAAAACGUUCGUAGCCGGCUGAGUAAAUGCUUGGGUAAAUCGUGCCGCUUAACGGUACGAAUUCCGGGUAGACUGCUUAGCUUGAGACCGGGAGAAGCUAGAGGUACUCCUGGGGUAGAGGUGAAAUUCUGUAAUCCUGGGGGGACCACCAGUGGCGAAGGCGUCUAGCUAGAACGGGUCUGACGGUGAGGGACGAAACCCUGGGGCGCGAACCGGAUUAGAUACCCGGGUAGUCCUGGGCGCAAACGCUGCUUGCUUGAUGUUAGCUGGGCUCCGAGCUCAGCUAGUGUCGGAGAGAAGUUGUUAAGCAAGCUGCCUGGGAAGUACGAUCGCAAGAUUGAAACUUAAGGAAUUGGCGGGGAGCACAGCAACGGGUGAGCGUGCGGUUU